rnacentral:tRNA from 1 species
GCAUUAAUAGUAUAGCAGUAGAAUUACUGCCUUCCAAGCAGUUGGCCUGAGUUUGACUCCCAGUUAAUGCA